UACGUAGGCAGCAAGCGUUGUUCGGAGUUACUGGGCGUAAAGGGUGCGUAGGCGGCUUUUUAAGUUUGGUGUGAAAUCUCCCGGCUCAACUGGGAGGGUGCGCCGAAUACUGAGAGGCUAGAGUGCGGGAGAGGAAAGUGGAAUUCCUGGUGUAGCGGUGAAAUGCGUAGAUAUCAGGAGGAACACCGGUGGUGUAAACGGCUUUCUGGACCGUAACUGACGCUGAGGCACGAAAGCGUGGGUAGCAAACAGG
rnacentral:rRNA from 2 species